rnacentral:rRNA from 1 species
UUAAGCGACUAAGCGUACACGGUGGAUGCCCUGGCAGUCAGAGGCGAUGAAGGACGUGCUAAUCUGCGAAAAGCGUCGGUAAGGUGAUAUGAACCGUUACAGCCGGCGAUGUCCGAAUGGGGAAACCCAGUGCAAUUCGUUGCACUAUCGUUUGAUGAAUACAUAGUCAAACGAGGCGAACCGGGGGAACUGAAACAUCUAAGUACCCCGAGGAAAAGAAAUCAACCGAGAUUCCCCCAGUAGCGGCGAGCGAACGGGGAGCAGCCCGGAGUCUGAAUCAGCUUGUGUGUUAGUGGAAGCGUCUGGAAAGUCGCAGGGUACAGGGUGAUACUCCCGUACACUAAAACGCACAGGUUGUGAACUCGAAGAGUAGGGCGGGACACGUGGUAUCCUGUCUGAAUAUGGGGGGACCAUCCUCCAAGGCUAAAUACUCCUGACUGACCGAUAGUGAACCAGUACCGUGAGGGAAAGGCGAAAAGAACCCCGGCGAGGGGAGUGAAAAAGAACCUGAAACCGUGUACGUACAAGCAGUAGGAGCCCACUAGUUGGGUGACUGCGUACCUUUUGUAUAAUGGGUCAGCGACUUAUAUUCUGUAGCAAGGUUAACCGUAUAGGGGAGCCGCAGGGAAACCGAGUCUUAACUGGGCGUUAAGUUGCAGGGUAUAGACCCGAAACCCGGUGAUCUAGCCAUGGGCAGGUUGAAGGUUGGGUAACACUAACUGGAGGACCGAACCGACUAAUGUUGAAAAAUUAGCGGAUGACUUGUGGCUGGGGGUGAAAGGCCAAUCAAACCGGGAGAUAGCUGGUUCUCCCCGAAAGCUAUUUAGGUAGCGCCUCGUGAAUUCAUCUUCGGGGGUAGAGCACUGUUUCGGCUAGGGGGUCAUCCCGACUUACCAACCCGAUGCAAACUACGAAUACCGAAGAAUGUUAUCACGGGAGACACACGGCGGGUGCUAACGUCCGUCGUGAAGAGGGAAACAACCCAGACCGCCAGCUAAGGUCCCAAAGUCAUGGUUAAGUGGGAAACGAUGUGGGAAGGCCCAGACAGCCAGGAUGUUGGCUUAGAAGCAGCCAUCAUUUAAAGAAAGCGUAAUAGCUCACUGGUCGAGUCGGCCUGCGCGGAAGAUGUAACGGGGCUAAACCAUGCACCGAAGCUGCGGCAGCGACACUAUGUGUUGUUGGGUAGGGGAGCGUUCUGUAAGCCGUUGAAGGUGGCCUGUGAGGGUUGCUGGAGGUAUCAGAAGUGCGAAUGCUGACAUAAGUAACGAUAAUGCGGGUGAAAAACCCGCACGCCGGAAGACCAAGGGUUCCUGUCCAACGUUAAUCGGGGCAGGGUGAGUCGACCCCUAAGGCGAGGCCGAAAGGCGUAGUCGAUGGGAAACAGGUUAAUAUUCCUGUACUCGGUGUUACUGCGAAGGGGGACGGAGAAGGCUAUGUUGGCCGGGCGACGGUUGUCCCGGUUUAAGCAUGUAGGCGGAUGUUCCAGGUAAAUCCGGAACGUCACUAACGCUGAGGUGUGAUGACGAGGCACUACGGUGCUGAAGUGACAAAUGCCCUGCUUCCAGGAAAAGCCUCUAAGCAUCAGGUAACAUCAAAUCGUACCCCAAACCGACACAGGUGGUCAGGUAGAGAAUACCAAGGCGCUUGAGAGAACUCGGGUGAAGGAACUAGGCAAAAUGGUGCCGUAACUUCGGGAGAAGGCACGCUGAUGGUAGGUGAAGCGACUUGCUCGUGGAGCUGAAAUCAGUCGAAGAUACCAGCUGGCUGCAACUGUUUAUUAAAAACACAGCACUGUGCAAACACGAAAGUGGACGUAUACGGUGUGACGCCUGCCCGGUGCCGGAAGGUUAAUUGAUGGGGUUAUCCGUAAGGAGAAGCUCUUGAUCGAAGCCCCGGUAAACGGCGGCCGUAACUAUAACGGUCCUAAGGUAGCGAAAUUCCUUGUCGGGUAAGUUCCGACCUGCACGAAUGGCGUAAUGAUGGCCAGGCUGUCUCCACCCGAGACUCAGUGAAAUUGAACUCGCUGUGAAGAUGCAGUGUACCCGCGGCAAGACGGAAAGACCCCGUGAACCUUUACUAUAGCUUGACACUGAACACUGGUCCUUGAUGUGUAGGAUAGGUGGGAGGCUUUGAAGUGUGGACGCCAGUCUGCAUGGAGCCAUCCUUGAAAUACCACCCUUUAAUGGCUGGUGUUCUAACGUGGGCCCGUAAUCCGGGUUGCGGACAGUGUCUGGUGGGUAGUUUGACUGGGGCGGUCUCCUCCUAAAGAGUAACGGAGGAGCACGAAGGUCAGCUAAUCCUGGUCGGACAUCAGGAGGUUAGUGCAAUGGCAUAAGCUGGCUUGACUGCGAGCGUGACGGCGCGAGCAGGUGCGAAAGCAGGUCAUAGUGAUCCGGUGGUUCUGAAUGGAAGGGCCAUCGCUCAACGGAUAAAAGGUACUCCGGGGAUAACAGGCUGAUACCGCCCAAGAGUUCAUAUCGACGGCGGUGUUUGGCACCUCGAUGUCGGCUCAUCACAUCCUGGGGCUGAAGUAGGUCCCAAGGGUAUGGCUGUUCGCCAUUUAAAGUGGUACGCGAGCUGGGUUUAGAACGUCGUGAGACAGUUCGGUCCCUAUCUGCCGUGGGCGCUGGAGAAUUGAGGGGGGCUGCUCCUAGUACGAGAGGACCGGAGUGGACGCAUCACUGGUGUUCGGGUUGUCAUGCCAAUGGCAUUGCCCGGUAGCUAAAUGCGGAAGAGAUAAGUGCUGAAAGCAUCUAAGCACGAAACUUGCCCCGAGAUGAGUUCUCCCUGACCCUUUAAGGGUCCUGAAGGAACGUUGAAGACGACGACGUUGAUAGGCCGGGUGUGUAAGCGCAGCGAUGCGUUGAGCUAACCGGUACUAAUGAACCGUGAGGCUUAACCUU